rnacentral:RNase_MRP_RNA from 1 species
GCUCGUGCUGAAGGCCUGUUUCCUAGGCUACACACGAGGGACUAGUUCCUUACUUUCGCCUAGGGGAAAGUCCCCGGACCUCUGGCAGAGAGUGCCGCGUGCACAUGCACGUAGACCUCCCCCUGCUUCCACGGUUAAAACCGCUAAGAAGCGAACCCGCCCCCGCGGGGAGCCGAGCGGCGUGCUGUAGGUGGUCGUCAUCCGUCAGCUCUUAAAAGUUACGCAGGCAGUGCGCCUCACGGGCGUACCAACCACACGGGGCUCAUUCUCAGCGCGGC